rnacentral:rRNA from 1 species
UGCAGUCGAACGGCAGCACGAGAGAAGCUUGCUCUCUUGGUGGCGNAGUGGCGGACGGGUGAGGAAUACAUCGGAAUCUACCUUUUGGUGGGGGAUAACGUAGGGAAACUUACGCUAAUACCGCAUACGCCCUUCGGGGGAAAGCCGGGGACCUUCGGGCCUGGCGCUGAUAGAUGAGCCGAUGUCGGAUUAGCUAGUUGGUGAGGUAAUGGCUCACCAAGGCGACGAUCCGUAGCUGGUCUGAGAGGAUGAUCAGCCACACUGGAACUGAGACACGGUCCAGACUCCUACGGGAGGCAGCAGUGGGGAAUAUUGGACAAUGGGCGCAAGCCUGAUCCAGCCAUACCGCGUGGGUGAAGAAGGCCUUCGGGUUGUAAAGCCCUUUUGUUGGGAAAGAAAAGCGAUCGGUUAAUACCCGGUUGUUCUGACGGUACCCAAAGAAUAAGCACCGGCUAACUUCGUGCCAGCAGCCGCGGUAAUACGAAGGGUGCAAGCGUUACUCGGAAUUACUGGGCGUAAAGCGUGCGUAGGUGGUGGUUUAAGUCCGUUGUGAAAGCCCUGGGCUCAACCUGGGAAUUGCAGUGGAUACUGGGUCACUAGAGUGUGGUAGAGGAUAGUGGAAUUUCCGGUGU